rnacentral:rRNA from 1 species
GAUGAACGCUGGCGGCGUGCCUAAUACAUGCAAGUCGAGCGAACAGAUGAGGAGCUUGCUCCUCUGACGUUAGCGGCGGACGGGUGAGUAACACGUGGAUAACCUACCUAUAAGACUGGGAUAACUUCGGGAAACCGGAGCUAAUACCGGAUAAUAUAUUGAACCGCAUGGUUCAAUAGUGAAAGACGGUUUUGCUGUCACUUAUAGAUGGAUCCGCGCCGCAUUAGCUCGUUGGUAAGGUAACGGCUUACCAAGGCAACUAUGCGUAGCCGACCGGAGAGGCUGAUCGGCCCCACUGGAACUUGGACACGGUCAAGACUCCUACGGGACGCAGCAGAAGGGAAUCUUCCGCAAUGGGCGAAAGCCUGACGGAGCAACGCCGCGUGAGUGAUGACGGUCCUCGGAUCGUAAAACUCUGUUACUAGUUAAGAACAAAUGUGUAAGGAGCUAUGCACGUCUUGACGGUACUUAAUCAGAAAGCCACGGCUAACUACGUG